AGAGUUUGAUCCUGGCUCAGGAUGAACGCUAGCGACAGGCCUAACACAUGCAAGUCGAGGGGCAGCACAGUUGAAGCUUGCUUCAACGGGUGGCGACCGGCGCACGGGUGAGUAACGCGUAUGGAACCAACCCGCAACAGGGGGAUAACCCGGAGAAAUCCGGACUAAUACCGCAUAGUACAGGGGAUACACAAGUAUUUUUUGUUAAAGAGCAAUCGGUUGCGGACGGUCAUGCGUUCCAUUAGCUAGUUGGGGGGGUAACGGCCCACCAAGGCGACGAUGGAUAGGGGUUCUGAGAGGAAGGUCCCCCACACUGGUACUGAGACACGGACCAGACUCCUACGGGAGGCAGCAGUGAGGAAUAUUGGUCAAUGGGCGAGAGCCUGAACCAGCCAAGUCGCGUGAGGGAAGACGGCCCUAAGGGUUGUAAACCUCUUUUAGAUGAGAGUAAAGGUACCUACGCGUAGGUAUUUGCAAGUAUCAUCAGAAUAAGCAUCGGCUAAUUCCGUGCCAGCAGCCGCGGUAAUACGGAAGAUGCGAGCGUUAUCCGGAUUUAUUGGGUUUAAAGGGUGCGUAGGCGGGUUGUUAAGUCAGCGGUGAAAUGCACCAGCUUAACUGGUGAAUUGCCAUUGAAACUGGCGGUCUUGAGUGUAGCGGAAGUAUGCGGAAUGUGUGGUGUAGCGGUGAAAUGCAUAGAUAUCACGCAGAACUCCGAUUGCGAAGGCAGCAUACCAUACUACAACUGACGCUGAAGCACGAAAGCGUGGGUAUCGAACAGGAUUAGAUACCCUGGUAGUCCACGCAGUAAACGAUGAAUACUAACUGUUUGCGAUAUAAUGUAAGCGGUACAGCGAAAGCGUUAAGUAUUCCACCUGGGGAGUACGCCGGCAACGGUGAAACUCAAAGGAAUUGACGGGGGCCCGCACAAGCGGAGGAACAUGUGGUUUAAUUCGAUGAUACGCGAGGAACCUUACCCGGGCUCAAACGCAACAGGAAUAUAUGUGAAAGCAUAUAGCCGCAAGGACUGUUGCGAGGUGCUGCAUGGUUGUCGUCAGCUCGUGCCGUGAGGUGUCGGCUUAAGUGCCAUAACGAGCGCAACCCCUAUUGACAGUUACUAACGGGUCAAGCCGAGGACUCUGUCGAGACUGCCGGCGCAAGCCGCGAGGAAGGUGGGGAUGACGUCAAAUCAGCACGGCCCUUACGUCCGGGGCGACACACGUGUUACAAUGGCCGGUACAGAGAGCAGCCACCCGGCGACGGGGCGCGAAUCCCAAAAACCGGUCCCAGUACGGAUUGGAGUCUGCAACUCGACUCCAUGAAGCUGGAUUCGCUAGUAAUCGCGCAUCAGCCAUGGCGCGGUGAAUACGUUCCC
rnacentral:rRNA from 1 species